GCUAGGGUAGCAUAGUGGUUUGAGUGUUGGACUACAAUUCAGGAGAUCAGGGUUUGAUUCCCAGCUGGGCCA